UGUGUAGGCGGUUGCUUAAGUUUGGUGUGAAAUCUCCCGGCUCAACCGGGAGGGUGCGCCGAAUACUGAGUGACUCGAGUGCGGGAGAGGAGAGUGGAAUUCCUGGUGUAGCGGUGAAAUGCGUAGAUAUCAGGAGGAACACCGGUGGUGUAGACGGCUCUCUGGACCGUAACCGACGCUGAGACACGAAAGCGUGGGUAGCAAACAGGAUUAGAUACCCUGGUAGUCCACGCCCUAAACGAUGCAUAUUUGGUGUGGGCAGUUCAGUCUGUCCGUGCCGGAGCUAACGCGUUAAAUAUGCCGCCUGGGGAGUACAGUCGCAAGGCUGAA
rnacentral:rRNA from 1 species